CUACGGGUUGCUGCAGUGAGGAAUUUUGCGCAAUGGGCGAAAGCCUGACGCAGCAACGCCGCGUGAGUGAUGAAGGCUUUCGGGUCGUAAAGCUCUGUCAAGUGGGAAGAACCUGUAAAGUGCCAAUACCACUUUGCACUGACGGUACCACUGAAGGAAGCACCGGCUAACUCCGUGCCAGCAGCCGCGGUAAUACGGGGGGUGCAAGCGUUACUCGGAAUCAUUGGGCGUAAAGGGCGCGCAGGCGGCCCAGUAAGUCAGAUGUGAAAGCCCGGGGCUCAACCCCGGAAGUGCAGUUGAUACUGUUGGGCUAGAGUAUGGGAGAGGAAAGUGGAAUUCCUGGUGUAGAGGUGAAAUUCGUAGAUAUCAGGAGGAACACCUGUGGCGAAGGCGACUUUCUGGACCAAUACUGACGCUGAGGCGCGAAGGCGUGGGUAGCAAACAGGAUUAGAUACCCCCGUAGUC
rnacentral:rRNA from 1 species